rnacentral:rRNA from 1 species
UGGGGAAUUUUGGACAAUGGGCGAAAGCCUGAUCCAGCAAUGCCGCGUGUGUGAAGAAGCCUUCGGGUUGUAAAGCACUUUUGUCCGGAAAGAAAUGGCUCUGGUUAAUACCUGGGGUCGAUGACGGUACCGGAAGAAUAAGGACCGGCUAACUACGUGCCAGCAGCCGCGGUAAUACGUAGGGUCCAAGCGUUAAUCGGAAUUACUGGGCGUAAAGCGUGCGCAGGCGGUUGUGCAAGACCGAUGUGAAAUCCCCGAGCUUAACUUGGGAAUUGCAUUGGUGACUGCACGGCUAGAGUGUGUCAGAGGGGGGUAGAAUUCCACGUGUAGCAGUGAAAUGCGUAGAGAUGUGGAGGAAUACCGAUGGCGAAGGCAGCCCCCUGGGAUAACACUGACGCUCAUGCACGAAAGCGUGGGGAGCAAACAGGAUUAGAUACCCUGGUAGUCCACGCCCUAAAGCGAUGUCAACUAGUUGUUGGGAUUCAUUUCCUUAGUAACGUAGCUAACGC